rnacentral:rRNA from 1 species
UACGAAGGGUGCAAGCGUUACUCGGAAUUACUGGGCGUAAAGGGUGCGUAGGUGGUUGUUUAAGUCUGCUGUGAAAGCCCCGGGCUCAACCUGGGAAUGGCAGUGGAUACUGGACAGCUAGAGUGCGGUAGAGGGUAGUGGAAUUCCCGGUGUAGCAGUGAAAUGCGUAGAGAUCGGGAGGAACACCAGUGGCGAAGGCGGCCACCUGGACCAGCACUGACACUGAAGCACGAAAGCGUGGGGAGCAAACAGG